rnacentral:tRNA from 1 species
AGGGCUAUGGCUUAGUUGGUUCAAGGGCCUGCCUCAUAAACAGGAGGUCCUGCGUUCAAAUCCCAGUGGUACUU